GCCCGGCUAGCUGUGUCGGUGAAACUGAGACUCUUAAUCUCGGGGUCGUGGGUUUCAACCCACGUUGGGCG